AUUGCUAGUUUACACAGCUCAGGAGCCACCCCUUCAAUAAGUCUGCCUGAAGUGCGCUUAGCAGGAGCCCUCCAAGCUGUUUGUUUCAGGAAGUGGGGGAGAGUUCUGAGUCUAGUAAGUCACCUGCCUUCCCCACAGUACUCCUUGGUUCUCAUUUCUGAGAACUGAACUCCUGGGAGGGAAGAAUGUAUGCUCAGCCUGUGGGGUCUUGCUCUUAAGACAGGCAGGACCUGUUAGCCCAAAGGACUCCAUAGCGGACUUCUAUUCUGAUCUUCCUCAGCACCCUUGAUUGUCACUACACACGAAACUCCAAUUGAGCCUCUUGUGUGUGGUUCAGCCCCUUUCACCUCUGCCCCAGCACUAACAGGAGACUGGAGGGUCGUCUUACACUUUCUGGAACUACAUUAAGAGAACAGCAGAUUGACUUAAAUAUUUGAAGAUCUUCUGAUGAAGACAUGCUGUGGUAACUAUGGAACGGUGAAUGUGGGGCCUCUUUCAGAGCACCUGAGAGGGACAUGUGGCCCAGAACUUGUCCUGAAGAAUACAAAGGUCACUUUACUGUC
rnacentral:lncRNA from 1 species